ACUUCCCUCUGGAGCUGGGCAAGGCACUGGGGAAACGUGGGCCUGAGCAGGACUUUGCAGCCAAGGCCACUGGACUAGCUUGAGAGUCCUGGGCAGCAUCCAGGCACGGGCUCCAGGCCUUCUGCCCCAGCUCGAGGUGCCAUAGCAGGUGCCUCUCAUGGGAUUGGGGCAAGUGGCACAGUCUUGAGGCUCCCCCAGUCAGACCCUUCCCCCUUCUCCCCAGGCCAUGGUGGGCAGGUGGCCACUUCCGUUGCUGCCUGUGUCUGAGGACAUUGGCCCAGGGUUGGCAAGAAGAGGAAGGUGUUGCAUCAACAUGCAGCACAUUCACCUGACAAGGAGCUGGCCGCAGCCUCCGCUGCCAAACGGUGACGGUGCUGGCUGGUGCCCCCAGGAGCUGUUCACCACCUCCCGGGCUAAUGGCGCUUGCUGCCUGGCACACAGCAGGUGACUACACUGCAUGGCUUAUAAAUGUGGCCUCUGCCAGGAAAUCCUGGGAAAGAGCCAGGGAGGUGACGUUUUAUCCACGAGCCUGCUAUGGCUUAGCCUAGCCCUCCCCUAACUGUGACCAAGCUCUGGAUGAGACACAGACAACUACUGAGGACCUGCAAAGUAAGGAGACUGCAGGGCGGAGGCGGAACUUGGAGGAGUGACCUGCCGUGGAGUUUCUGGUUUCCUCCUUGUGGCUUUGUCUGGAGGGCAAGCCCCACUCUCAGAUCCACAUGGCAACACAAGCAGCUAAAACGCAGAUAGAAACCCCAACCUGGGAAAAGGAGUCCUACAGCAACUUUUCAGAAGCUUCAGAAGAAGGACGCCGGAGAAUGCCCGCCCGGGACUCCGAGGUGCCCUGUGCUCAUGGAUUGGUCCUCCUGGCUCCAUGAGUGUGAGUGAGUGUCUGCAGGUCCCUGGCACAAAAGCUGCAGUGCUGAGCAGGUGGCUAAUGGCCCUGGCUGGGUGAUUUUGGACAAGUCACCUUUGCCUCUCUGGCCUCCAUUGUCCCUCUGUCAAACAGGCCCCACGACAGCAAGCGUUGGUUAUUGUGUCUAUGGUCAACAUCCCACCUGCCUUUCUGGGCAGAGACGUUUGGGAGCAGUGGCUGUAUCCCUGAGCACGUCGUAAGGGCACUUUCCUGCAUGCCCUGGCUGGAGGGACCUGUUGCUGGGAAAACUCCCCAGAGUGUGAACCGGCGGCGGCUCCACCAUCUGGGUGCCGUGGGCAUGGUGCAUGGCGGGAAGGAGGCCGGCACCACAGAAGGGUGGCAGCUGUCCCCGGAAGGCUCUCCCCUGAGGGCGCCCAGGGCUCCACCGCUAGCCAGCCAUCUCCUUGCAGUAAGGCACGUUUCCUCCAGAUCCUCUCGGAACUGCCGGGAGUGGCUGCCCCACCCGCCCAGCUCUCCCUGGGUCCUGCCAGGCAGGGAAGCGUGAACCGAGACGGGCUCGGGAUGGCUCUCAGGCCCUCCCUGCUCUCAGCACCAAGGGAGGCACCCAGAGACUGAUCUGUGGGGGCAACGGAGACUCCGGGUCCCCCCACCAGGAUACGUCCCCUUUCUUUGCAUCUGAUGCUGACACACACAUACGAGGAGCCCAGAGGCAGAAACGGGACUCAGAGCCUGACGCUGAGGCUGGUGUGUGGGGCUGCCUCUCCCAGUGCUGAGGCUGGCGUGUGGGGGCUUCCUCUCCCGACACUGAGGCUGGCGUGUGGGGCUGCUUCUCCCGACGCUGAGGCUGGCGUGUGGGGCUUCCUCUCCCGACGCUGAGGCUGGCGUGUGGGGCUUCCUCUCCCGACGCUGAGGCUGGUGUGUGGGGCGGCCUCUCCUGGUGCUGAGGCUGGCAUGUGGGGCGGUCUCUCCCGACCUUGAGGCUGGCAUGUGGGGCUUCCUCUCCCGACGCUGAGGCUGGCGUGUGGGGCUUCCUCUCCCAACCUUGAGGCUGGCAUGUGGGGCUUCCUCUCCCGACGCUGAGGCUGGCAUGUGGGGCGCCCUCUCCCGACCUUGAGGCUGGCAUGUGGGGCUUCCUCUCCUGACCUUGAGGCUGGCAUGUGGGGCUUCCUCUCCCGACGCUGAGGCUGGCGUGUGGGGCGGCCUCUCGGGAGCAGGCGGCCUCGGGGAUCCUGGGGGUCAGCAGCCCCUCCACAGCUGCACCUCCCGGGACUGACCCUGCAGAACCCACCUCCCGCCAGCCCCUCCACAGCAGGACAGCACCCGCCUCCUUUUCCAAGGCCGCCUCGCCCAGUGGAGGCUGCAGCUCUACUGGGUGUGAGUCAGGAGGAAACGCUCGCAGCCAACACAGGCAGGACACGCCCACGUGACAUCGGAUCCCACGGGGAGGAGUCCACUGGGCAAAUCUGAACAAUGUGGGGGAAGAUAUUGAUGAGAUGUUAAACAUAACCCAUAGAAGAAGAAUCUACAAGUCCGUACUGACGUAAAUAAAUAAACAGGCAUUGGGGAGAGACAGCUUUUCCUUACCAUAGAAUUCCAACUCAGCCGCAGAAUCCUGGUGGGAACCGUCAUCAAAGUCAACGGGAGCAGACACCACCAAACCCCAGAUCAAAGUCAGCAUCGCCAGCAACGGGCACACGGACACCAGGAAACUCCAUCAGCAUUGCUUUUGCUGUAUUCUUGACAAAAUUGUACAGUUUAAUUUUUUUUCUUUUUUCUUUCCUUUUUUUUUUUAGAGAUGGGGUCUCACUGUGUUGCCCAGGCUAGAGUACAGUGGUGUGAUCACAGCUCACUACAGCCUUCCGUGGCUGGGACUACAGGCACACACCACCACAUCUGGCUUGUUUUUUUGUUGUUGUUCUUGUUUUACUGUUUACUUUGUAGAGAUGGGGUGUAGCUAUAUUACCCAGUCUUGACUUCUGGCCUCAAGUGAUCCUCCCACCUUGGCCUCCCAAAGUGUUGGGAUUACAGAUGUGAGCCACUGUGCCCAGCUGUAUAAGUGGAAUUUAAUUAUGAGGAAAUCUACAGUGAAUCCAAAUUAAGGGAUAGUCCACAAAAUAACUGACAAUAUUCUUUAGAAGUGUCAAUGUCAUGAAAAAACAAAGACUGAGGAUUCGUCCCAGAUUGAGAGACUAAGGGGCCACGAGGACUAAACACAACAUGGGACCCUGGACUAGGAAAGGGUGAAACGGGGUUUCACCAUGUCGACCAGCCUGAUCUCAAACUCCCGACCUCAGCUGAUCCACCCACCUCGGUCUCCCAAAGUGCUGUGAUGAGUGCCCGUGAGCCACCGCGCCCAGCCUCAAAGCUAACUUUUGGGGACGUUGGAUGAAGAGUCCACAGGAACUUUUCUACUGUUUUUGCAACUUGUUAAAACCCUGUAAUUACUUCAAAAUGAAAAGUUAAAAAAUGAUCUUUUAAAAAAGAGUUAAUACUUGCAGUAUAUAAAGGACUCUUGAAAAUCAAUGAGAAGAUGAAUGUCCUGUGGAGAGCACAUGGGCCGCGAUGCUCCGGGAAAGAAUGGCACAGAGCACAAGAGAAACAGCUCACGGGCACCACUGAUUAGAGAAAUGCCAAGGCACUCAAUGACGGCCAAUGAUGGCGUUUGAAAACAUUAGACUGCAAACUAGUGUUUACACCGUAAGGGUGCUCUCGUGUUGCUGGGGAGAGGGGGACGAGCAUAGCUCGCCUGCAGAGCAGUUUGGCAACUUAUCAAAAGUCCAAGCUGUGACCUUUCUCUUUUUGACCCCUACGCUGGAUGUCUCCACCCCAAAGCCCCCUCCCAGUUUGUACCUGGAUACUGAACUGUAGGGACCCCCAGGACCUCUGGCUCUCAGCUGGUGCAGCCAAGGGGAGGCUGGGCAGGAGACCAGGUGGACGGCUCCCACCCAAAGGAUGCCCCAGGUUGGGGGACAGGGCAGGACACCCCCUGAUCUUGGAGGUAAAGUCAUGUCUUACCCCAACCCCAAAGGUGCCCUACAUGCCACCCAUGGGGUGAGAGUAAUAUGGCAGCCACUGCCUGUCUCACUGAUGUCCAGCCUGGACCAUCUGAGGGGAGGGGAGGGAACUCAGGAAGCAGAGGUCGUGCUGCUCUCUGGAUCCCCCCAUCCUGUCUCCACCCCUGUGUCAGGGGGUUUCGGGUACCCUGGGGCCCUGACAGCCAAUCCCACCAGGAGCAGGGCCAUUUCCUGCCCAUGAAACUCCUACUAGGACCUGUGGGACCCGAGGGUGACUAACAAAGCUGUCCCAGAUAACACCACCAUGGAAGGGGUUGGAGAGCAGGGCCGCCGCUUAGUCCAAAGGAACACAGACAUCUGAAGGAUGGAUUCUAGGCUGUGUGGGCUCCGCGACCUGAAAGGCAGCGCAUUGGAUAGGCCUGAUUCUGGUUCUGGUUAAAGGUGGAGAAGUCUCCCUGAGCCCAGGAGGCUGAGCGGAUCACAGGGGCACCUUGAGAGGGAAGAUCGAUUUUUAGGGUAUGGCCCAGCCUUCCCUCAGGGCUGAGCAGAUCCACAGUUUUGAGAACACGGCUGAAAGGCGGGCACACACUCACACACGCAUGCACACACACACCCC
rnacentral:lncRNA from 1 species